rnacentral:rRNA from 1 species
CGGCACGGGUGAGUAACACGUAUCCAACCUGCCGUCUACUCUUGGACAGCCUUCUGAAAGGAAGAUUAAUACAAGAUGGCAUCAUGAGUUCACAUGUUCACAUGAUUAAAGGUAUUCCGGUAGACGAUGGGGAUGCGUUCCAUUAGAUAGUAGGCGGGGUAACGGCCCACCUAGUCUUCGAUGGAUAGGGGUUCUGAGAGGAAGGUCCCCCACAUUGGAACUGAGACACGGCCCAA